CACGAAGUUAGCCGUGGCUGCUUCUGCAGGUACCGUCCGAACGGUUACCCGUUCCAUCUUCCCUGCCGAAAGGGGUUUACAAUCCGAAGACCUUCAUCCCCCACGCGGCGUCGCUGCGUCAGGCUGUCGCCCAUUGCGCAAUAUUCCUUA
rnacentral:rRNA from 1 species